UGCUGGGCGGAUUAGUGGCGAACGGGUGAGUAAUACGUGAGUAACCUGCCCUUGACUCUGGGAUAAGCCUGGGAAACUGGGUCUAAUACUGGAUACUACCUCUUACCGCAUGGUGGGUGGUGGAAAGGGUUUUACUGGUUUUGGAUGGGCUCACGGCCUAUCAGCUUGUUGGUGGGGUAAUGGCUCACCAAGGCGACGACGGGUAGCCGGCCUGAGAGGGUGACCGGCCACACUGGGACUGAGACACGGCCCAGACUCCUACGGGAGGCAGCAGUGGGGAAUAUUGCACAAUGGGCGGAAGCCUGAUGCAGCGACGCCGCGUGAGGGAUGACGGCCUUCGGGUUGUAAACCUCUUUCAGUAGGGAAGAAGCGAGAGUGACGGUACCUGCAGAAGAAGCGCCGGCUAACUACGUGCCAGCAGCCGCGGUAAUACGUAGGGCGCAAGCGUUGUCCGGAAUUAUUGGGCGUAAAGAGCUCGUAGGCGGUUUGUCGCGUCUGCUGUGAAAGCCCGGGGCUCAACCCCGGGUCUGCAGUGGGUACGGGCAGACUAGAGUGCAGUAGGGGAGACUGGAAUUCCUGGUGUAGCGGUGAAAUGCGCAGAUAUCAGGAGGAACACCGAUGGCGAAGGCAGGUCUCUGGGCUGUUACUGACGCUGAGGAGCGAAAGCAUGGGGAGCGAACAGGAUUAGAUACCCUGGUAGUCCAUGCCGUAAACGUUGGGCACUAGGUGUGGGGGACAUUCCACGUUUUCCGCGCCGUAGCUAACGCAUUAAGUGCCCCGCCUGGGGAGUACGGCCGCAAGGCUAAAACUCAAAGGAAUUGACGGGGGCCCGCACAAGCGGCGGAGCAUGCGGAUUAAUUCGAUGCAACGCGAAGAACCUUACCAAGGCUUGACAUUCACCGGACCGCCCCAGAGAUGGGGUUUCCCUUCGGGGCUGGUGGACAGGUGGUGCAUGGUUGUCGUCAGCUCGUGUCGUGAGAUGUUGGGUUAAGUCCCGCAACGAGCGCAACCCUCGUUCUAUGUUGCCAGCACGUGAUGGUGGGGACUCAUAGGAGACUGCCGGGGUCAACUCGGAGGAAGGUGGGGAUGACGUCAAAUCAUCAUGCCCCUUAUGUCUUGGGCUUCACGCAUGCUACAAUGGCCGGUACAAAGGGUUGCGAUACUGUGAGGUGGAGCUAAUCCCAAAAAGCCGGUCUCAGUUCGGAUUGAGGUCUGCAACUCGACCUCAUGAAGUCGGAGUCGCUAGUAAUCGCAGAUCAGCAACGCUGCGGUGAAUACGUUCCCGGGCCUUGUACACACCGCCCGUCAAGUCACGAAAGUUGGUAACACCCGAA
rnacentral:rRNA from 1 species